GACAGAGGGUGCAAACGUUGUUCGGAAUUACUGGGCGUAAAGCGCGUGUAGGCGGCUAUGCAAGUCGGGCGUGAAAUCCCACGGCUCAACCGUGGAAGUGCACUCGAAACUGCGUAGCUAGAGUCUCGGAGAGGAAGGUGGAAUACUUGGUGUAGAGGUGAAAUUCGUAGAUAUCAAGAGGAACACCGGUGGCGAAGGCGGCCUUCUGGACGAUGACUGACGCUGAGACGCGAAAGCGUGGGGAGCGAACAGG
rnacentral:rRNA from 1 species